UUGUCAGAUAUGCAAAAAUAAGGAUGGGCUU
rnacentral:piRNA from 1 species